CUAUACUGCUUUUACGUAUAGUGCAGAUGAGAGACUCAAUGGUGCAAUGUCAGUGUAUCUGCAGGAAGUACCACCAGUGUUUCCCAAUCAUUUAAAAACCUUAUUUGGCAUGGUUAUUGCUUCUUUUCUUCAAGGACUAUGGGCCAACAUAGGUAACCAACAUGGUGCACUCCAGAUUUUGUGGACUACAACCUCCCAGGAGCUCCAGCCAGCACAGGCAGCGGCCAGGAAUUGUGGAGGAUGUAGUCCAAAACAUUUCGAGGACUCCAUGUUGUCCAUGACCAACCUAAAAGGUUUAGCACAUCUGUCAUGAUUGGGCUGGAAGUCAUUGUAACAGCAAUAGUAGCAGCAGCAGCAGAAACAAAAGUCUAAUAUGUGCCACAUCUCCUAGGAAAUUUUUGCUACUGUUAAUACUUGUUCAGUGAGCCAUCUCCCCAAAUGACAAGGUUGGAGUUUUUCUAAGGGAAAAAAAGGAUCUCUAAUGCAAGCUGCUUUGGAGGCUACCAACAUUAUCCAUUCUCCAGCAGCUGUUGCUGAAACCACAGGGUUGCUGGCUCCUAAUUAGAUCCAGCUGCCCCUACUGCGAGCUCACUCAUUGAUGGGAGCAGGAAGACCAAGUGCCUGACAGUGGGUCUCUUUCCUGGCUUUUCGACAGACAGCGUAAUUAACUUUCCUGCCCCUCUUAGAAGAACUAUAAGGCAGAGCCGCAAAGGUGUUUGAGUGACUUAGAAAACAUUACUUAUGCAUAGGAAUCACAAUGAUUAAUCACAAAGCCUCGGGAAACUGAUUGGUAAGUUUGUAGUGGGGGGGAGGAGGAGGAGAAAGGGUGCAGAUUCUGGUUAAUUCCUCCUGCCUUGUGCACACAAGUGAUAAACCCAGUUAUAAGAAUGGCUGUUGCUACUAAGUGCUUGGUUCUGCGUACAGGUGGAAUGACUAGGGAUGGGACUUCUGUGUGAAUUUCUGUUUUAGGGAAGUGUACAUACAGGCAGACCCCUUUGCUGCAGCUCUGGAUGGGGAUCCUUUGGCCCCUUAGAAGGUGAUGGGCUACAGAGACUAUCAUCCAUGACCAUGGCCUUGGUGGCUUCCAAUAAGGGAGCCAAGUAUCACAUUCCUACUGAAGUUCCACUUCACUCUUCUCUACUAUCUUCCACCUAAGAGCAAGUGUUAAGUCUUCCUGAUUUCUGCAGUUGCUACAAGAGAGAACAAGAAAACUCCCACCAGGCCCAUCCAGCAUGGCCAAUGGCCAGGAAUUCUUAGAGUUGUAGUCCAAAACAUCUGGGAGACAUUGUGUUGGCUACUCCUCCUGUGCUACCAGAUAUUUUCCUAGUUCCCCUUCAAAUGAGAUGCAACCAGAGGAGGAACAGGAAGCUUAAGUGUCUCUGUCUUUCUCCAGCUCAUACAACAGCAGAAUUCCCAUACCCUCCAUGACUGUAGGUGGAAGCACAAACAUCUCCCCAUGCUUCUCUGUCACAUCCACAGAUGCUCCAAACUAGAGCUUCUCAGAACAAGGGAAAGGAUGAACACAAGCAUUAUUAGCUUGUUAGAUAAACAAGAGGAGGGAUUCGUGGGAGGAGGAGAUGAAAUGGAGGUGAGAAAUGAAUGAGUCUGUGGAUACCCUCCAUGGUGUCCAAACUAGCCAUGGUGAGAUGGGCGAAGUGCAGGCUGUAGGACACUGGUAGGGAACCAUAACCCCCAGCCAGGAUAUUCAAUGGUUAGGGAUAAUAGGCAUUGAAGUAUAUCAACACUAGGAGGGCCACAGUUUACUUUGUAUACCUCUGGCAAUGUUAUUUCAAUGUGAUCUUACAUCAUCAAUAUGCCUUUGCCGAUUCUGAUAUUGAUACCUGACCAUUGGCCAUGUGGCCAGGGGAUGAUGGCAGCUGGAAGCCCACAACAAUUAGUUUCCCACCUCUGUAAUAGAGUUACUGCAGAGGACAUGCACAGGUCUUCCUCUACACCCAACCCCCCAAUCCUAAUGCUGGCCACAAAAAGACCUAUUGUAACAACAAAAUUCAUCUUAUUUUUCUGCUCUUCUUUUGGUACAUUUACCAACUCAUUGUGAGCACCAGCAGCUGAGGAAGAACACAUUUAUUCCUGCGUAGCCCCCACUUCUCUCCCAGUCAGAAAAGUAAACAGCCUCUUUCACUGCAGGUAUUAAGGAUGCAUUUGUUCUCAAGCUGGUUAUUCUUGAGUGCAUUUGCUGUUGUCACAUCCAUUCGGCGCUUUGCUGUUUUCAUGCCUAUCUAUCUGUCGCUCACUGCUAAUAGCUCUAAAGUUCAGGUACUCAAGGGCAGUUUGUCAAGAUGUGUGGAUUAAUAUCUUGUCACAUCUGGGCAGGAACGAGGCAAUGAUUUUUCAAUCUGCACUUUACAGUUCUCAUUGGAAAAUGUCGAGAGUUUUCUUUCUUUCUCCUUCUCUUUUAGCGGAUGUGAGGGAGCACUUAAAAUCCACAGAGGGUAUAUACUGCAUGUGUGGAAGAGGACAGCUCCCUUGAUUGUCCUUCUGCUGCAAAUUUUACAUCAGGCCAUAAGAACAUACAUAUUAUGCCCAUAAUUCCUAAACGCACACAUACACAAGGCAUUCAUAGCAACCCUGAACAAUUUCAUUUGUGUGCAUUUAAUAAAGCUGGAGUCAAAAUGUUCAGCUAAUGCAGCUGCUACUAACAGCAGUUCAUACAUCCUAUUGUUUCAUCAUGUAUUUGCAGGCCAGGGUUGCAAAAUCAGACCCUCAAGUUGUGAAAUGGGCAGUAGGUAGACUUGAACCUGAAUACAAAUCCUUUUCAGCCAGGAUGAUUACAGGGGCUGGGGAAGUGGUAUUUUUAAGGAUAACAUAUAUCCCCUAGUUCCUACCAAGGUCAAAUAGAAUAACAGCAAGAGUAGGAUAGAGGAGGAAGAGAGAGAUUAAAGCUGCAGUCCCUCUCUGGGGGAGGGCCAUAGCUCACUGCCUGAACAUCUGUUUUGCGUGUGGUAUGCCCCAGGUUCAAGCUCCAGUAUCCCAAGGUAGGGAUGUGAUGGAUCUCUACCUAAAACCCUGAAGAGCUACCUAAAACCCUGAAGAAAACCCUGCCGGUCAAUGUAUAGAAUAUUGAUCUAUAUUGAUCAUGCAGCUCCUUAUAUUUCUAAAAUGCAGUGGGACUUGUAACCAAGUGAACUAAAAUAUGAUCAGACGGAACGUGGUACUUUUCCAGAGAACCCGCCCGGUUUGAAAACAGCAAAGAAGCAACACUAGAAUAUGUAGCAACCACAUCUCCAAAUAUCCACAUUCUCUCUUCUAACCCAAUUGCUGUGGAGCAAAGAAGAAGGAAUCGCAGAGGCUUCAAAAUAUACACCUGGCAGGCCUACAGCUAGCAAUACUCUAGAGCAAAAUAUUGCGCACAGGAAUCUUAACAUCCUAAGUCAGGAAAAAACAAAAAAGCUUGGGAGCCACUUGAGGGAACAUUUCCUGCCUUAACAACCUGCACAACUGUUAUUAGAUCAAUUGGCAGUGCCCUACUUUCCCUACCGUCGCUCUAGAGGUAAAGUAGGUUUUUAAGCAAGAGAAAUGGUGUGUGUUUUUUAGCACUCCAAUAGUGGGAUGCCCUCGCUAGAGAGGUUUGCCUGGUGCCAACACUGCUGUCAUUUGGCAACAGGCAAGAACAUUUUCAUUUGAUCCAGCAUUUAAAAUAAGGGUGAACUAACAUUCAGGUCACCCUUCUUCCCUCCCCCCCAUGCAAUGGGAAACUCAACUACAGACAUUGUCAUGGCACCUUUGCUGGAGGACCAAGGUCCAGGAAUGUUGAGGUCCCACACAGCUCUUUAAAUCUUUCAGUAAUACCUGUAUGCUUAUGUUAUUGUUUCAUCUUGCUGUUUUAACUUUUGUAACCCCACUCAGAAAUUUUCAGAUGUUAUGUUAACAAGCAAGCCCACUUCUGAAAUUGAUCUGAUAAAUCUGCUCCUCUAAAGGUAGGACUGGCAAUCACCACACUUCUUGGAAGAGAGAGUCUUAAGUGCCAUUUAUUUAGCUGCGACUUGGUUUCCAUCACAUUGCUGUUCUACGAAGUAGGAAAAAAAGUGGUAGCAGAAUAGUUGGCGAUUUUUGUUCAGAACAGCAAGACUUUUGUGGGGUUUUGAUACUGUUUGCAUCUACUGCAUUGUCUGCUGAACCAAGUGCCGGUAACUGGAGAGGUUUGCAUCAUCAUCAUCAUUUUUUAUUUGUAUGCCGCCAUUCCAUAGUUAAAAAACGAUGCUCAAGGCAGCUUAUAGCAUAAGAAGAUUUACAUAAUUAUAGAAGUCAUAAACAAUAAAUAAACCACAUCCAAAAAAAUGCACAACCAAAUGGAAAACCACAUAAAUCAAAAUCUAAAACUAAGAAUACAGCUUUAAUAUCACAGCUUAAAAUGACAUGGGUAAAAAAUAACAGCAAUUUAAACAAAAACAAAACAAAAUGGAGUCCUCUCUGCCCAGCAGCAGCAGCAGUGGCAGCAGUCCUUUAUAGAGCCCACUCUGCAUUAACAGAAUUAGGCCUACAUUAUGAAUCCUGCAGGUCUUCAAAUGCAGUAUCUUUUUCCAAGAACAGCCUUCCCCAACCUGGUGCCCUCCAGGUGGAAGUUGUGGUCCAAAAUAUCCAGAGGGCAUUUGGUUAAUGAAGGUUGCUUUAGACCAAGAGAACUCAGUGUGUGCAUGUGGGUUAUGUGUAAGAGGACAGUACAUAGGUAAUCUGCUGUGCUAGAGUACAAACAUGGACUCACCAUUUGCUUUGGAUUCCUUCCCAGUCUCAUCAGCCUGCCUUGUUGUACAUGUCUAUCCCAAUAUUUCUUGAUCCAAUCCCUCUUGAAGUUUCUCUGCCUCUAAUUCUGCCUAGUCUUCCCAUCCUGACCUUGACAGCUGGAAACUCACAGCUGCAGUUGUUUGCUUCCAAACCUUUACCUUAAAACAGAAUUUCCACCACCACUAGAAGCUGUGGCUCUUUAACAGACACAGAAAUCCAGUCAACGCAGCUAUUCGCAUUCUUACAUCUACAUGCUGUGAAACAUGGCACCUUUGAAUUUCUGCUUGUCAUGGGGCUGCUAAAAGCAUCAGUGUCUCAUUGAGGAAGAACACAGUACUCUCUCAAGAGAAAAUGAUCUGCCAUUAACUAAGCCAUUUUCUGUUGGAGUGCUCUGCACAAAACAGAAAUGCAACAGGUACAACUUCUUACAGCAAUGGAGAUGCAGUGUUAAUUGGAUUUCUACUGGUCAAUAUAUUUGGUAAGGCCAGGAGGGAAAGUAAGUUGAGGGGCCUGACAAGCAAAGGGCUUAAUCCUUGGUGGUAGAGCUCAGAUGCAAAAAGCAAGGGAGGGAGACAACUCAUUUAAUUCCAAUAAUGAUCUCUCAGUAGUCUAGGCUGAAUGCUGGAAGGGGGGGAUGGUUUCACCAACUUUUGGGGGCCAGUAGGCAUAUUUAUAUGCCUGUUGUCUUUGUCCAUGGAGUUUUCUUGGCAGGGAUACUGGAGUGGCUUGCCGGUUCCUGCUCCAGGUGCAUCACGUUUGGUCAAAACUCUCCACUAUGACCUGUCCAUCUUGGGUGGCCCUGCACGGCAUAGCUCAUAGCUUCUCUGAGUUAUUCAAGCCCCUUCGCCACGGCAAGGCAGUAGUGAUGUAUGGAAGUGAGAGCUGGACCAUAAAGAAGGCUGAUCGCCGAAUAAUUGAUGCUUUUGAAUUAUGGUGCUGGAGGAGACUCUUGAGAGUCCCAUGGACUGCAAGAAGAUCAAACCUAUCCAUUCUGAAGCAAAUCAGCCCUGAGUGCUCACUGGAAGGACAGAUUGUGAAGCUGAGGCUCCAGUACUUUGGCCACCUCAUGAGAAGAGCAGACUCCCUGGAAAAGACCCUGAUGUUGGGAAAGAUUGAGGGCACAAGAAGAAGGGGACGACAGAGGACGAGGUGGUUGGACAGUGUUCUCAAAGCUACAAACAUGAGUCUGACCAAACUGCGGGAGGUAGUGGAAGACAGGAGUGCCUGGCAUGCUCUGGUCCAUGGGGUCACGAAGAGUCGGACACGACUAAACGACUAAACAACAACAACAACAACAGGCAUAUUUGGAAUUUUGAGAAAGUGUCAUGGUGUCAUGAACUGGCAGGAUGACAGUGAGGAGGAAGAGGAAGAGAAUCAUGGCAAGGGAUUGUAGCUGGGAGUGGGACAUAUUGGGGCAAGCUGGGGAUGCGGAAGGAGAGUUUGGUGUAGGAAGUACUCAUGGAGCAAUGGUGAGGGGAUGGGGGUCAAAUGCACAGGGACCAGAGCAGCAGGACCAACUUCAGCAAUGUUUACCUUCUUGCCCUGUUCCUGUCACCACUCUAACCCUUCUUGAACAUGAGAUAUAGUUGUUUUGCUUCCCAGUAAUCACCAGCUUCCUAAGAGGCCUCUUUUGAACAGAAAAGAGGUCAACCCCUUGUGUGAUAAGUGAAACCUAUAUUGAGGUUACUAGGAGGAAAAGAGGGGACAUGAAGACGGUAUGAUCUUUGUUGUGCAAAUGAACAGCAACCGCUUUUACUAGGGUUACAUGAAAAUAUGGCUCCUACUCCGUUUGUCCAUUUAAAAAAAUGUACAGACACCCAUUGCAAGAGAAUUUAGAUGAGCUGAAAUUUUACCAAAAAGGAAAGACAGUGAGGGAUAUUCAAGCCUCCUGCUGUGGAUUUUGAUUAUGAGCCAAUUAUUGCUGCAGUUGCCACGAAUGCUUAUUAGCUGAAUUUCAGGAACAGGCCAUUUAAGAACUCAGACCUUGAGCAGUAGCUUUUGUGCUUUGAUAGAAAACUGAAGCCGCCUAUGCAUAAUGUCAUUCAGAAGUAGGCAGAAUAAUACUAGUGGGGCCCAGACUUGCUCAUAUGAGCAGAGCCACCAUCAUAUCCAAAGUGCCAGCAGCCCCUGCUAAUCAGGGAAGAACUCUAGGGUGGAGGGGUGGGUGGGUUUUUCAGUUUUUCCUAGGUUCACUCCUGCUUGGUACUGCAAGCGGGCAUUCCCCUCUUCAGCAAACAGGCCAGCACAUCCUUGACCAACCCCACUCUGCCCCAUUUUUGGACCUGACCCCUGAUACUGCAAGCAGAAGCCAUGGGGUAAGGAGAAGAGUUUACUGCAACAACAGGCUUAAGCACCUACGCCAGUGAUUUUCAACCAGUGUGCCAUGGCACCCUGGGGUGCCUUGAAUGAUGGUCAGGGGUGCCGCGGGCAACACUGGCCUCUGUCCAGUGUUCUUUCCCUUCCUCCUCUGAUGCCCUCUCAUGUUUCUGCCACCCAAAGGCUUGUGUGGCUGUUUGUUGCAGCAGCCCUGGCUAUAAGCGCCACAGGUGGGGCUGGCCAGGGGGUACUAGUUGCCAGGAGCGGAGGUGGCCUUGGAGUAAGCAAACAGGCGAAGGAGCCCAGCCAGCCAACCAGUCUGUCAGCCCUUACUGUUGGGAAUGGACAGACAAGUCUCAGGCCCCUGUGGGGCAGUGUGAGGAGGCACCUCUCUUUGGGGCAGGGGGAGGCAGCUCAGAGACCAGGGGCGGCAGCUGCAGAGGACUCCCAAAGAGAGGGGAGAGAAAAUGAGGCUGAGGGCACACUCCACAAGGGAGGGUGUUCGAAAAAGAGCAAGAGGCUGCCAGCUCUGCAGGGAAGGGGUGACCUAACUGGGCUCCUGAGCCCCACAGAGGUGCUGCAGAAAGAACGUAGUUAGUCAAGGGAGCCGUGUACUCAAAAAGGUUGAAAACCUCUGACCUAAGCAAAUAAGCAGUGAGUCUUAACAUUUUUAUGUCUCCAGAUGCAUACAGAAUUCUUCACAAAGGCUUGCAUUUUCUAGAGGAGGAGCUAUGAAAGUCUACUGCAAUAAGGAGGAUUUUGUUGCACCUUAAAUGCUUAUGUAGCUUAUGCUUUCUCAAAAAAGAGCUUGCUGGCAUCAGAUACAUGAAGACAAUGAAAUUGGCUCUGGACUACAAGAGCUCACCGCACAAUAAAAUAACAACUUUCAGAUGUUUAGGACGACAAUGUUCGUCAGCCAUUCCUGAUGCUAGCUGGGGUUUAUGGGCAUUGUAGUCCAAAACAGCUGGAGGGCACCCGGUUGGCAAAGGGUGCUACUGGAUUAUAGAAACUUGCAACCCAUCAUGCUUCACCCUUUCUAGGUUGUGAAUGCACAUUGUGGUCACUAGAGAACAUCCCUGUAAGAAUAUAAAGAGUGCCUUGCCGGAUCAGACCAAAGGCCUACCUCGUAAAGCAUUCUGUUUCCAUAGCGACCAGCCAGAGGCUUUUGGGAAGCCCACAAACAGGGCAUCAGCACAACAGCCACAAUAACACUUGUGAUCUGUAACAGCUGGUAUUUAGAAGCAUACUGUCCCUGGCUUGAGGUGACAUAAAGCCAUCAAGACUAGUAGCCAUCUUCAGUAGCUGAGGGCAGUAUUAAUCCUGGGCUCAGUACUGACCCUUGUAGGUGUGAGCCGGUGGGACAAAAAAAAAAUGUAUUGGGCCAGUGAGAUGUAGCAGCUAUGGAAUAGGGAGACCAAGGUUCAAAUUUCUUCUCAGCCAGGAAGUACAGGCAACCCAUUUACGUGGCAGUCAUGUUCCAAGACACCGAGUGUUUAAGUGAAAUUCACAUAUAUUUGAAACACCAUUGAAAAUGCCUGCAAACACUCCUCCCCUCCCCACCCUGUUCUGCCCCUUUUUGUGACUUUUUGGGUUACUUCCUGGUUUGUACAGUGUGUAUGCGCAGUCACACAAAUAUUGAAUGUGCGUUAAGGGGGGAAGGUUGCCUGUACAUUUGGCCAAUCACAGUCUCUCAGUCUAACCUGCCUCAAAUGGUUGCUUUGAGGAUAAAACACGAGGAGCGGGGAGACCAUGUACGCCACCUUGAACUCCUUGAAGGAAAGAUGGGUUAUAAACGUAAUAGUAAAUAAAUAAAACAUUGGCUGAGGGGAAGCAAGCUCUACUUAAUCCUCCUUCCCUCGACUUUACCAUCUCAGCCAAAAUGGAUAAACAGUAAUUUCAAAUCCCAGCCUUGACACAAGACGUCUCAAGAGAAGAGUUCUGACCCUCAAAGAACACAGCUUGCUCAGUGCUGCCUGAUUAAAAACAUGAAUAAUCUUUAUGAGAAUGUCUUCCUUACAUGUUUGAGCUGGGUGGUUAUUUAAAAAUAAAUAAAUAAGACCAAUGCACAUAAAAGUCUAUUUCAAGACAACUGGCAAAUACUUGGGGGGGACGACCCUUUUUUUUAAUGUGAACUUUAUACAGCUCAAUCUAGUAUUUUUAUAUUUUUUAUAUUUUGUUUUGAAAUAUCUUAUUCUAUGCAGAAAAACUGAUGGAAUACAAAGAUGGAAAGGAAUUGCAUUUCUUCUUACUGUUCUGCAAACCUUCGCCUCGAAAUCAAGAUAACCUCGUAUUUUAGACUUACAAAAUAAGCUGUAACAUCUCUAAGGGAGUCAUUAGACUACCUUGCAAACUGCAAGGGAAUCACUCCCUAUUACAGAUUGUUAUGAUAUCCCUGGGCUGUCCUCGGUCAUGUCAGUGAACUGUUAAAAGCUUUCUAUGCCCCUGUUCGAUGUAAUGCAUUAAUAAUGGCUUCACUUAAAAAACCAAAAACAAAACUACUCACCACCUUUUCCCCUCAUUAGCCGGCUUGAAUGCCCAACAAUCAAGGGGGAAACGACUCAGAUUAUAGGAAAUUUUAGAACUAUACAUUCCAACAUACUUUGGAGUAAAGAACCAGGUUUAACCAAUUCCUUCUUUCUAUGUGUCCUCAAAAGUAAGACAAUGUCAGAGACGAAAAGUUUCAAUAGCUACAGAUGUGUAAUCUUCAGUGGAGGACAACAGGGGCCUUGCACCCAUUGUGGAUAUUCCAGGAUCCCAUCCCUGAAAUUUUCUGAUAUAAAAAAGCAAAGGCAGUUGGCUCAUAAGCACAAUUCCAAAAUUUACAAGAUCAGGCCAAUCAAAAUGUCACUUUUUUGGAAUUUAAAAAGAUGCGUGGUUUUUGCCAUGGUCUGCAACCUUACUAGCAACCUCUGAGCCAUGUACUUCCAACAGAAGUCUUCUCCUUCAUUUCCAGGACCCAUGAAUAGCUUUUACAAAUAUUUCAAAGUGAAUUUUGCCUAUAGUGUCAUUUACAGAUCCAGAACUGGCAGCCUCUCAAUAGCUCAUAGCCCAUGCUAGAAGUGAUGACUGCCAGAAUUCCAAUCAGACCCUCAGGAAUCAGUUGAAUGUGCACAGACCACCGAGAUAAAACUUCAAGCUGUAAAGAACCAGAAAUGGCAGACUAAGCAGCACUGUUUUUAAUGGUUUCGUGUCAGCACUCUAGUCAACUCCCCGGGAAAUAACCACUGCAAAAAUCCUCGUUUUGAUUCCAGAAUCCAACCUUAUCGCUGCAGUUCCACAGUUUCUCCCAUCUUAGAAUGCCAUAUGCCUUGCGUGCUCAAGGGAAUGCCUUUAUGUUUUAGACAUUAAGGUAAUCGCUGCAUUAACAACUAGAGAUUCGAAACAUCGGCUCAGAUUCUUCCAACAUUCCCCCCAUCAGAGCUAAAGGGAGUUCUGGAGCUUCUGCUGAAAUGGACACUGUGCAGAUGUCAACGGAAACACAAUUCCAUUGGUGGGCCCACAACACAAUGAUCUGCAUUCUCCAUUGCGCAAAGCAUUGCAUCUAUAAAGACUCUGGUUGCAGUGGUAGAGUUAUUCCUUGUUACACCUGAUAUGGUUUAGCUUCUGGGUCACAUGAAAGUCAUACCAAUGCCGAAAGUGCAUCAAUGUCAUUAAGCUGCACUAGUGGAAAAGUUACUUGGAAUGAGCACUCAUGUUUUGUGUGCCCACAGCAACAUACAAAUGACCUCAACCCACUCUCAUCACAGCGCCUGUAUUCAAGUUUUGAUUCCUGUUCAAGACUUCAGACGAGUUCAGACAGCCAAUGACCUCCCCACCAGAGUUUGUUGGGCUCCAAACCCCAUUAGCUCAAGCCAGCAUGGCCAAUGGGUAAGGAUGAUGAGAGUUGGGGUCCAGCAUCUGGAGGACACGAGAUUCCCAGCCCCCGUACUAGACACAUCCCUUCCCUUCUUUCUCCCAAUAUUCGUAAUCCAUAAUCCAACAAGACAGAGCCAAGUAUGGUACACAAAACGGCUUUUGCAGAAUCAAAUGAUCACACCCCAGCAGAGAUUGCCUGGGAUUACCAACUGAAUUGUUUAAUUUGGAAAUGCAGUAAAAAUAUUUUAACAUAAGGAACCGCAGAAAGAGAGGCAGGGGAGUCAAUAUACAAUAUAUGAAAUAACUUGAUUUUUAAGAGUUUUUUGCUUUUCAUACAAUGAAAAUUAUAAAUAAUUUGUUUUUAAAAGGAAUACCAGCUGCGUUUGGUUACCUUCAAGCGGCAGCUAGGCACACAACCACUAAUCUGAAUGCUUGAAUCCACCCAUUAUAAAGAUACAGAGAGCUUCGCCAACAUCAGGCAACUUCCAGGUUGCUUAUCAUAAGCAAUCUCAGCUCGCAGUCAGGAAUGCAAGGUGAAAGCGAUUUCCAUUCUGGCCUAUCUUCAGCUCAGUUUUCAUGAAAUGGUACAUUUCUCUCUUUGUCCACUAUUUAACAUAAAUUAAGUGCUUAUUUGCCUAAGUUACAAAUUUAACCUAACAAUGCAAUUAUCUGCGCACUAUCUACUUCCAUGGAAAGGAAAUAUCAAAACAAUGUAAAAAGAUUUAAAUGAUAAUAAUAAUUACGUAUCAGUUGUGGGCUUUAGAAAACAAAUACCGUAUUUUUUGCUCUAUAAGACUCACUUUUUCCCUUCUAAAAAGUAAGGGGAAAUGUGUGUGCGUCUUAUGGAGCAAAUGCAGGCUGCGCAGCUAUCACAGAAGCCAGAACAGCAAGAGGGAUUGCUGCUUUCACUACGCAGCAAUCCCUUUUGCUGUUCUGGCUUCUGAGAUUCAGAAUAUUUUUUUUCUUGUUUUCCUCCUCCAAAAACUAGGUGCGUUUUGUGGUCUGGUGCAUCUUAUAGAGCAAAAAAUACGGUAUGUGGUGAGCAAAUCUAGUUGUACAAAAAACACAAUCUGCUUCUGUUUCUGGCAGAAUUCUCUGACUUUCCAACUUGCAGCUUAAUGCCAUAAGACGCUACUCAAAACGUACUAAGGCCGUGCAGUCGUAUCCUUCCACAGUGGGCUUUAAUUGUCAUGCCACAUUAAGGAAACCGAAUGUAACAAAGCUUAGGUCACCACAUGGCUAGAACUUCCCCAGAAAAAUAUGAAACUUCUGACUCACCAUACUGGCAGCGGGAUCCCUGAAAUCCUGCUGGACACUGGCAUAUCCCACCAGAGCAUUUCCCUCCAUUGAAGCAGGUGCCCACAGAACACAAUGCUGGAGAAAAAGGGAAGAGACAAGGAAGCAACAGUUAUAUGCAGAAUCCAUGAGCUUCUCAUACAGCUAAUACUACAAAUGAUGCUUGAAAGCGAAUGUGCCCAAGUCCUCCCUCUAGGAAGGGAAGGAAAGCAUUAUUAAUAAAAUAACCCUGAGGGCUUUUGCGCACAUAACAAGGCAACAAACUAUAAAUGCAUGUUCAGACAACAGGGUGAUGAAACAUUUCAAAAAGAAUGGGAAAAAUUUAUGUCAUACAUAGGAGGGGUAAGGUGAAAUAGUGAAACCAGUAGAACUGAAAUAAACCUCAUAAUGUGAAAUACGAAGAAAAUUUCUGGAUAAAGAAAAUAACUUAAAGUAAAAUGUACAAUGUGAUUAAUGUAACCAAUGGUAGUUGUAAAUGAAUAUAGACAGACAGUAAGAAUUGUAUAUACAGGAGGAUUUGACUAUAGACACUCUAUGGACAAAUACGAAAGAAGAACAACAUACAAAAUGGAUGAAGACAAUGCGAAAAAGUUAGAUGUGCUAUAAAAGGCUAGAAGAAGUCGGCUCUGGGGAGCAGGUGUAAAUGUGAAAUGUAAUGCAAUACGUGUAUGUGGAGUGUACAAAUGAAAACCAAUAAGGAAUAUUAUGGGGGGGGAUAUAAAUGCAUGUUCAGCAACUGGCAGCUGUGUUUUCCUAACGUGUGUGCACAAUACACCGGCAUCCAAACACAGUUGCAAAUUUCAUGCUUGGGACUGUCCUACGCUGUUGUUGUUUUAAUUAAAUGCAAAGGCUCAGUGCUUUAUGCUUUGCAUUAAGAAGGUGCCAAUCUUCGGAGCUGCGAAUGUCCCCUCUAAAACCCUGGAGUCCUGCUGCCAAGCAGUAAAGACAUUACCAGGCUGUAUGGAACAAACGAGAUAGAUCAAUGGUCAGACUCCGUGUUUAUUCAGUUAUUUUGUUUAUUAAAUUUCUAUGCCACCCUUCAUCCUAGAAUCACAGGGCAGUUUACAGUAUAAAAACGCAAAAACACAGAACAGUCAAAACAAAGAACAACAACCCCACACAUAGCCAAUUUAUGGCCUUUCAAAAUUGGUAAUUAUCCAAAGGCGUGAGAGAAGAGGAACGUUUUUGCCUGGUGCCAAAAGAUAUGCAAACAAAGGCGCCAGGUGAGUCUCUCUGGGGAGAGCAUUCCGUAAGCAAGGAAUGCAGAAAUGGCUCGUCUCUGGACCUCUCCUGGAAGAGGCACACAAAGAAGGGCCUCAGAUGAUGAUUGCAGGGUUCAAGUCAAUUCAUAUGGGGAGAGGUGGUCCUUGAGGUAUGGAGGUCCUGAGCCAUUUAAGGCUUUAUAGGUCAAAACCAUGACUUUGUAUUGGGCCCGGAAACUAACUGACAGCCAACACAGAGACAGGCCAGAGUUGGUGUUAUAUGCUCCAACUGUCUUGGGCCCCAGUGAGCAGCCUGGCCACCAAAUUUUGCACCCGCUGAAGUUUCCAAACCUUCUUCAGAGGCAGCCCCACGUAUAACGUGUUGCAGAACCUAGAGGUUACCAGAGCAUGGGCAACAGAAGUUAGGUUAUCCCUGUUCAGAUAGGGGCAUAACUGGGCCAUCAGCUGAAGCUGAUGGAAGGCACUCCAUGCUACGAAGACCACUUGAGGCUCAAGCAAGAGCCAAGGAUCCAGUAGUAGCUCCAAACUGCAUAACCACUUCUUCAGAGGAAGUGUAACCCCAUCAAGUAUAAAGGAGCUUCUUGUGUUCCUGCUUUUUUAAAAAAUUAAUAAAUAAAUAAAUCAAGAAGCAUCUUUAAAGAAUAAUGAGUUAAGCAGCUCACGGUAUUCUACAAUCACAACUUACAGUGAAGGCACCCAGCUUCAUCAGCUUUCUUCUGGCUCCAGCCAGGGCAGCACUUAAAGACAGUGUGAUGUUCCAUGCUGUACACUUGCUUAUAAAUGGUAUAAUAGCUUGUCCUUUAAAAAAUAAUCAUAGUAAAAGCACAGUGUAAGAUAGCGCUAAGACAAAACAUUGCCCUACUUUGUUCAGGCAACAGCUAUGGUCUACAUCCAGCACGCAAGGAAGAAAAUAGCAUCUCUAUUUUGAGACACAUUAUCAGUUAUUGCAUAGCAGUGGUUUUCAAACUUCCUUUCUUUGGGGAAUGCUGUUGACAUUGAACUCACCUGAUUUAUCCUCCAUGCAUCUGCCAUGGGACCCACAUAUUACAGAAACAGGAAGGGGCAAAAAAAUAUUUAGUGAGUAUAUUAGAGGUUACCGCCACCACGCUUCUGCUGCACUUUUCUGCUUGUGUGGUGGCACCUUGGUAAAACCACUUCUUACUGUUGUAGCAGACUUUUCCCCGGAGGCAGAGGACAAGAACAGAAGUCAUCCUCAAAUUCACAAUCAAGAGCUUCUUUAUGGCUUGACUGGUUGCACAAGCAUUUCUGUUACUAUUAUAUACAAGCUAUUUACAUUCCUUCUUUCUCUCUCCAGCAUGGCAUAAUCUCAGCCCAGGAAUUAAUCCUGACACAGCAAAACUCACAAUAUCAGCAGCACAAAUUGUCUUACUUCCAAACUUGUUAUCAGCAUGCGUGCUGACAGUGUGUGUGUGUGUGUGUGUGUGUGUGUGUGUGCGCGCGCUUUCCUCAUGUGGAAAUUGCAGCCUGCAACAACCUCCCUUUAUUUGCACCUCCAGCUGACACCAAUCAAGCCUAGAGUGCCACUCUUACACACUAACGAAAAAUUCUGGAACCCUCUUUAAAGCUUCCAGGAACUUUUUCCUGUUUCUUAAAGAAUGUUUUCCUAAUAGAGUAAAGCAAAGGUGUGCAGUCAGCAUCUCUUAACACUUAACUAAUGUGUGGUAGGUGAUCCUGGGUAUGCCCGCUUGCUUAAGAUGAUGAACACUGCUUCACUGAUCAAACCAUGCUUUAAAAACACAGGACCAUGUGUUACCUUCUCUCAUAGGCCAUGCACCAUCUCUGUCCUGCACAGUCCUGCUUCCACAUCUUCACCAAACGGGUAAAGGCUUGAACACAUGGCUGGCGAUGCCCCACCAUGGCCAACUCUUGCUCGGAACAGACAUUUGGCCUGCAAUUUUGGGAGAAGAAAAUAAAUCAAGAGCAUGCACUGUGGACACACAACACCAGAUAAGUCUGUCAAACGCUCCCAAUUCUUAUUUUGAUUACCCAGAUAUGAGUCACCAACACCUUCCUAUCUACUUUAUGUUGUAAACAGCACGUAAUUUUAGACCAAGCCUCUUCACCGGCUGAUUCACACAUAACUUGAUCUUCAAUUGCUCAACUAUGAAUAAUUAGCAGAUGGUUGUACAGACCUGAGAUGGAAAACCUAUAGUCCCCCAAAUACUGUUGGACCUCAAUUCUCAGCAUCCCCAAGCAGCACUGACAAUGCUCAAGGAUUAUGGGAGCCAUUGCCCAGCAACAUCUUUUAAAUGUGUUGUGGGAGGGGAAUUAUUGGUUUGUUUUUGUUCUUAUUUUUACUUUGUAUUUUGUGUUUUUUUAAUUGUAAUUUUAUCUUGUGACACCCGCCCCCCGAGGUCUAUGGAUAAAGGGUAAUAUAAAAGUAAUAAAAUAAUAAUAAUCUGGAGAGCCACAGGUUCCCAUCCCUUGUCUAUUGAGUUCACUUUCCCCAACACACUGCAGAGUGGCUCCUGCUCAAACGUAUCUCUCGGAAGUCCCUUAUCACUGGAAGUCCUCUGUUCAAAUGUCACCACAGUGAUGAUCUCAUUAGGUGGCCUUAGGCAAGCCACCCUUUCUCAGCCUUAAGUUUCUCCAUCUGCAGUAUGGGGAAUAAUAAUGUUCUUAUUUUACAGGGAUGUAGACCAGGCAUAUGAACCACUCUGAAUACUUACCACAGAGAUUUUCAAGCUGUUUUGAAAUACUUUUAGAUAAAAUAACUAACACACGCACAAAAGGCUAAGUACCAGGAACUGAACCUGGGAUUCUCUGCAUGCAAAGUAUGUGCUCUGUUCUUGUGCUAUGCCCCUUCCACAGUGGUAGUAGGGAGGAAAGCUGAACGGUCUCGCUGGAGAGAAGGCACUCACCCCCACACACACACCAUCAACAAUUUGGAGUUCUCCGUUAUUCUUGCAGCUUCAACUGCAAAUUGAAUCCAAGGGGAGUUGGAAGUUCAAACGCCUCAGCUCUUCCACAUAUUUCUAUAGUGUCCAGAAUAGAGCUUCUGCAUCUCCCCACUCUGGAGAUGCCGAAGGUCCCAAUGGGCUCCAUUAACGUUUGUGUCAACAAAAUGAGGAACAGAACCCAUUGCACUGCAAAAACUGUACGUGAGAGGUAUGUUCUCAUGGGCUCCCAAACACAGUCAAUAAGAACUUAAGGGCUCCCACUGGGACAACUGUCGUCCCUUCCAAUGGGGGCCUGCUUCAAACCUAGACCAGGGGUGGGGAAUCAGAUGUUCGGUUAAUGUUUCCAUCAUUCCUGCCAUUGCCCAUGCUGACUGGGGUUGAUGAGAGAUUCCAACAUCUUGGGGACUCCUGGUUCCCCAUCCCUGCUUCAGACUAUAUACUGCGGAGCAGUAAUUUCCAAGCUGUAUUCUGAAGAAACCUGGUAUGUAUUUAAGCAAAGGUUGGAGGACCACCUGUCCUGAAUGGGUCUGGAUUGCAUGGGGACUAGAUUGCCCUUGGUGUCCCUUCGAACUGUACGGUUCUAUGAUUCCUUGAAAGCCUGACAAGCAAUACGAGAAAAAUCAUUUCUUCCUUCAUUGAUUUUUAAUUUCAAGUAAUGUAACAUGUCCAUACAAGGAAAACAUAGCUUAGUAGUUGUACAGAAAAGAAAAAUAGCGUCUGACAGUUGUAGUUUUAGACGUUCCAGGAAAGGCAAUCUCUCCCAAAGUGUCUCUCCAUAAGGUUCCAUGAGUCAAUGGAGGGUGAAAACCAUGUUCGAUUGUCUUAACAAAGUCAAUAAAAGGACAUCAUGUCCUAUAAAAGGUGUGAGUCUCCCCCCACUCCAAUCGAUAUUCCUUUUGUGAAAUGGUUAAUUUGUCCAUAAGCACGAUGUCCCAUACUUGUGAAAUCCAGGCUUCAAAAAGAUUUGUGUUUAAGGUUUUCCCAUGUCUUGCAGUCAUUAACCUAGCUGCAGUUAAUGGAGGUUGGGGUCUUUAUUGGUGAUGUUCUUAAGUAAAAUGAGGCAAUAGGGCUAAUUUUGGGUCUGGGUGUAGCAAUAGUCCCAUCACUUGAAUAAUUGCUUGCAAAACUUUUUCCCAAAAGGGAGUAAAUUUUGGGCAAAACCACCACACGUAGAGAGCCAGGUAAAUUGAAUUCCCACCAACAAAUUAUGAUUAAUUCUAUAUAUCCUGGCUGGGCACAUGUACCAGCGUUGUGCUAUCUUUAAAACAUUUUCUUGAGUUUCUUGGAGGGAUCCAAAUGAUAGCUGAUUCCAAAUUUGUUCCCACAGUUGUUCCUCUAGUCUCCAAAACCUUUCCCCCAUUUCAGUCUUAAUUUUAUCCAAUUGUGGUGAGGAUUUUAUCUAGUUGGGGGAUGCUUCCCUUUCCUAGUGGGUUGGUUGAGUAGUUGUUCAAAACUAAUUCACCUGCAUAAUGCUUGAGUCCUUAUAUUUGGCUGGUUUAGAAAAUGCAUAAUCUGGUGUAUCUCUAGCCAACCACAUGGUUUAUCUCCCAACUUAAAAUUUAUUUCUGGAGCUGUAAGGGGUUUUUGAUCAGCGUAGAAGCUUCUGAGUUUAUAUAAUCCCAUUGCUUCCCACCUGGCAAAUGAGCCUGAUUUGGCUGCUGUGCAGAAGGAAGUGUGUUGUGUUACUGAGAGAGAGAAAUCAUUUCUAAGAUACAGUUUUGUCCAAAGGUUUCUUACAAAGUGCAAACACAGAGUAUGGUUUGAUGUAUUCUGGGCUCCAAUGCAGGCAACAAUGAACCCAAUCCUCUGCAAUGCCAGCCAUGAAAGGGCUUCUCAGAAGAAGGGUCUAUUUGCUAAGUACUAGGCACUUAUAUAUAGUGCUUUAGGAAGUUUGCACUUCCCAUACAGCAGCACUGUAGCCCUUCCUAACCUGAAUUACAAACUUGAUUAUCCUUGUAUUGCAAGUGGCAGGUGACAGGUGGGGACAGGACAGGGCUGAUGUGGUGGGGCUCGUCUAAGUCCUCCUAAUAAGGAUGGCAAAGAAGCAGUCAACCAGAAACUCAGUCCUUUAACCACUACACUAGGCUAGCUAUCCAGAAACAUGUUCCCUAAAAAGGAAGGGAGUCUGGAAACUGGAGGCUAAUCAUCAAUAUGCCAUCUAGUCACCAUUUCCCCCAACCAGAAUCCAGAAACAUGAAUCGAAUGGAUUUAAAAAGCAGGAAGAUGAAUGCCCUCGGGUGACAUGCCUGCUCAAAUAUAACCAGUAUAGGAUGAGAAGUUUAGAUUGUGCUAUGAAUUUGCAUUAACUGAAAAAUGAUCAAACUGUUUAGUGGGCAGCUGCUCAGUAGGUGCUAAACACACUAUAGUAAGCGUCUAAAUUCAGCAGAAGAGUCUUUUCACGCCCCCACUAAACAGAAGGUGUCCCAGCUUGUAUCAGGUCAACUGAAGCGUCUGCUGUCUGAACACUAUUGAUCCCUGUGAAGUCAAGAUACACUUGAUUUGCCACAUUACAGCAACCCCACCACCCGCAAGCAGUGAGACGUUCCAGGGGCAAUGCUAUAGGGUUUUAUUUUCUUGAAUGAGGAAGCACAGGUCUGAAUAUUUAAGAUGUCUUUGUAAUAUAUCUAUUACAAAAUAAGCCAGCACUGUGUGAGUGGAAGUAAGCUGAUUCUUCAAAGCUGGCAGAAAACGCAUCAUUAUUGUGCAAAGUUCACAGAGUCCCUGCAACCCAAAAUAUAUAUUUAUUUUUUUACAGCCAGCUAAUAGCUCUCUCUCUCUCCCUCUCUUCUUCAGUUCAUACAAUUAACUGGUUCUUCUGCUUCUCCCCCCCAUCUCUAACAUGACAUCCCUGCCUCCUGCCAAAAGCAGGGGAAGAGAGAUUCCCAGCCAUCAAGGACAGAGAAGGGGAGGAAAUGGUAGGGCAGGAUCUAAUGGCAGAUCUCUGGGUGAUUUGCAGUAGAUCAGAAAGGGUUUCUGACUCCCAAUUGUUUAACUAUUAGGCUCCUUUGAGAGGAAGGGCAGGAUAUAAAUGUAAUAUAAAACAACAACAGCGCCAGUAGCUUAGAAGGAUGUGUCAAUUUCAGUUCUCUCAUUGCCUCAUUUUUAAAGCUUAAAUUCAGUUCUCCACAUUUCUGCAGCAAGCUGCAAACAGGAACACUGCAAAAUCCUAACGAAAAUUCACCAGCAUUUUAGAGUGAAUUUCUCCUAACAAACAAAUUUUUUUUAAAAUACGGUUUUGACCGAUGUACACAUUUUUGCAAAAGAUUCCCCCAAUACACUUCUGUAUGUUGUACUCACUAAUAUAAUCAUACUUAUGCACACUUGUCCCUAAUAUAUGAAUUUUUGUAGAUAAUGGUUGGUUGGAGAACUGCAUCAAAAUAAAUAAAUCAGUGUGGAUUUCGAGGGAUGGCUGUGUUUUGGUUCUCAAUUUGUGAUGACUUGCAUGUGUGAAACGGCCAAAGGUCACUGGCAGAACACUUUCCCAAUGCCUCGGUUGUUACUGUACAUUGUUUGAGGAUCAUACUGGCAGAUAACCACUGUAUUCUGCUCUGGUCAGACCUCACCUGGAGUACUGUGUCCAGUUCUGGGCACCACAGUUCAAGAAGGACACUGACAAACUGGAACGUGUCCAGAGGAGGGCAACCAAAAUGGUCAAAGGCCUGGAAACGAUGCCUUAUGAGGAACGGCUAAGGGAGCUGGGCAUGUUUAGCCUGGAGAAGAGGAGGUUAAGGGGUGAUAUGAUAGCCAUGUUCAAAUAUAUAAAAGGAUGUCACAUAGAGGAGGGAGAAAGGUUGUUUUCUGCUGCUCCAGAGAAGCGGACACGGAGCAAUGGAUCCAAACUACAAGAAAGAAGAUUCCACCUAAACAUUAGGAAGAACUUCCUGACAGUAAGAGCUGUUCGACAGUGGAAUUUGCUGUCAAGGAGUGUGGUGGAGUUUCCUUCUUUGGAGGUCUUUAAGCAGAGGCUUGACAACCAUAUGUCAGGAGUGCUCUGAUGGUGUUUCCUGCUUGGCAGGGGGUUGGACUCGAUGACCCUUGUGGUCUCUUCCAACUCUAUGAUUCUAUGAUUCUAUGAUUCUAUGAACCAGCCUAUAACAUGGAGCAUCUUUUGAAGGAGCGUCUCCACCCCCAUCAUUCUGUCCGGAUGCUGAGGUCCAGCGCCAAGGGCCUUCUGGCGGUUCCCUCACUGCAAGAAGCAAAGCUACAGGGAACCAGGCAGAGGGCCUUCUCGGUAGUGGCGCCCACCCUGUGGAACGCCCUCCCAUCAGAUGUCAAGGAAAUUAACAACUACCUGACUUUUAGAAAACAUCUGAAAGCAGCUCUGUUUAGGGGAGUUUUUAAUGUUUGAUUCUAUUUUUAAUAUUCUGCUGGGAGCCUCCCAGAAUGGCUGGGGAAACCCAGCCAGAUGGGCAGGGUACAAAUAAAAAAUUAUUAUUAUUAUUAUUAUUAUUAUUGGUACAUUUAGCUCUAUGCUGACUGGCAGCAGCUGUCCAGUAUUUCAGACAGGAGACACUCCCUGCUUACAUGGAGGAGCUGAGGGUUGAACCAGGGACCUUCUGAAUACAAAGCCUCUGCUCUACCCCUGAGCUAUGGACCCUUCACAAUGACUAUGUAUAUAUAUUAACACAUGCUAUAAUCUCCAGUAAAAGAAAUAAAUGAAGAUGUAGCAGGCUUUAGGUUUGUCUAUACAUACCAAGGAGAUUAAUUUCAACCUCGCUGGUGAAAAUGUUUUAGAAGCAUGCAUUUAAAAGCUUGCUGCAUAAUUGCCACUUCUAUAAAACCACAAUUGUCAGUCUCCAAAUAUAUGGCAAAUCAAAUGUUACCAUACUCACCUACAGCUGUUCAGAAAUAUGGAGAAGCAGAAGACAGAUGUGAAUUUACUGCAGGGGAAACCCUGUGACUCUCAAUAGCUCAGUCAGCAGAGCAUGAGACUUAAUCUCAGGGUCGUGGGUUUGAGCCCCAUGUUGGGUAAAGAUUCCUGCAUUGCAGAGGCAUGGACUAGAUGACCAUUGUGAUCCCUUCCAAUUCUACAAUUCUAUGAUUAUUGAAUUACAACUCUCAUCAGUGCUGGCCAUCAGCUGGUCCUCCGUCUGGGAGGACCAAAGAUUUCCCCUUUCUGGUUUACUGACUGCUGUACUUCCUUACACAUGGUAACAAAGCCCUAGAAACAGACCUGACAUAAGACAGAUGGCUGCUAGGCAUAAUAAUAAUAAUAAAAAUUUAUUUAUAUACUGUCCUCCCCAGCCAAAGCCGGGCUCAGAGCGUCUAACAAUAAAAGUAACACAGUUUACAUAAAAUCAAUUAAUUGAAAUGCAUUCUAAAAUCAAUUCAAAAUCAAAUUAAUGACAACCAUUGGGCUAGAGUUCUGUGAGGAUUAUCGAAGGAGGGGGUCAGACUGUGCCUUGGCCAAAGGCCUGGUGGAACAGAUGUCAAGUCCCACAGGGCCCUAGUCUCUUGUGACAGAGCGUUCCACCAGAUCGGGACCACAGCCGAAAAAGCCCGGCUCUGUUCGAGGCCAGCCUAACCUCUCUGUGGCCCGAGACCUCCAGUAUUUUUGUUUGAAGACCAUAAGGUCCUCCGUGGGACAUACCAGGAGAGGCGGUCCUGUAGGUCCUAGGCUGUAUAAGGCUUUAAAGGUUAAAACCAGCACCUUGAACCUGAUCCUGUAUUCCACCAGGAACCAGUGCAGCUGGUAUAGCAUGGGGUGAAUGUGAUCCCACGGCAAGGACCCCGUAAGGAGUCUCGCUGCAGCAUUCUGCACUCGCUGGAGUUUCUGGGUCAGUCUCUAGGGCAGCCCCACGUAGAGUGAGCAUAAUGGCGAUCUAGUACCUCCAGCAUUGGAGGCACCAUACCUCUGUACCAAUCAUUGAGGAACAGCAGGAAAGGGUUACUGUUGAACUGAAUUUUUUAAUUAAAUUGAAUUUAUACACUGCCAAAGGAGCCAAGGACUAUAGGACUCAUGCCCUGCCUGUAGGCUGUCACUAGGCAUUUGGUUGGUCAUUGUGGGUAACACGAUGCAGGACUACAUAAGCUUUUGUCUGACUCAGGACAGCUCUUAGGUAUUCACAGCUAUCUAAUUCCACUCAAAAUAUACUCUGGCCAUGAAAUUAUACUACAUAAACUACAUCAACAGCAUUCGAAAUUCAGAAAUAUAAUCUAGGUGACAAAUGGCUCCUUAAACCAGGGUUACAGUUAUGAAAGCGGAAUGUCUAGUUGCCAUUUUGGGGCCAGACGGCUCGAAAGUCAUAUUUUUAUACAACUUUUUGGUUCCUGAAAAUUCAUUCUGAUUGUGCAGAUAAAAUAUAAUGGAUAAAAAUCUAUAGGAUGUGUUGCUAGUCUGUGAAAACAGUCAAGAUCCAAUGAUCUCCAUGCACCUCGAAAUGGUGAAAAAGUUGGCGUCAUCCUGGCACCCGGGCAUGUUCACUUGAACACUGAUCAAUCAAUGUAUUUAACCAGCACAUAGUUCAAUGUUAUCUAUGCCACCACCUACCUUCAAUGGCUGUAUGCAGUUAAUGCAAGAUAAAUUUGGCUGUGUGCAUAUAAACAACGAGCAGGGGAUGCAAUUAGAUUUCAGAACAGUGGAGUCUACCACAAAAAUAAAUCAACCACUCUAAGGUUACCAUACUUAAACAAAGCUUAUAUAGGAAACAGAGAGAAGAUAAGACUACUGAACAAAGCUGAUGCACUCUUUUUAUUUGAAAAUACGAAAAUCAGUAUCUUACAUGCAGCAUUUGUGAGAGCCUUGGACUAACUCAAAUGAAUGCACUCACUGACAUCAGUUGAUGGGAUCAUCUAUCUAAUGUGUUCCAGGAAACCCUGGAGUUCCUCCAAAGUUCAUCAGGGAUUCUUCAAUGAGGAAAUCAGAAGGAGCGGGCAAGCCUCCUUUAACAACACCUUGCCCACCAUCAUCUGCCUUCCCUUUCAGUGUACAAGCUGUAUGUUCUAGAUUUAUUUGUUUCAUUAUGAAUCACUUCCCAUGAAACAGCCUGAAGCAAUUCAAGAAUAAAAGCAUCCACAAUGAAACCUAUAUGAAUACUAUUUCUAAACCAAAGUAGACAAAUGUUGGGAUUUUUAAAAAAAUCUCCACUAAAAAGGCUUGUUGGAAGAGAAAGGUCUUCAAUAAAUACUACUACUACUACUACUACUAAUAAUAAUAAUUUAUUAUUUAUACCCUGCUCAUCUGGCUGGGUUUCCCCAGCCACUCUGGGUGGCUCCCAACAGAAUAUUAAAAAUAGAAUCAAACAUUAAAAACUUCCCUAAGCAGGUGCUAAGGCAAAGGGUAGAUGGCCUACAUCACAUGGAAUGGACCCCUGAGUGGGAUGGCAUCUGUGCAAGCCCCUCUCCUGCAGAAUGUAGUGAUCAAUGGGAUAUAUAAGGGGGUGAAAUGAUCUUUUAGGUGACCCGAUCCCAAACUGCAUCUGGCUUCAUACACCAACACUAGCAACGUAAAGUUAGCCUGGUAGCUAGUUGGCUGCAGUCAUCUCAUGGGAGUGAUAACAAGGCCUAGGAGGCAACCCCUCAUUCUGAGGGCGGUAGAACUACAAGAAGGCUCCCUCUGCCGAUCUUAAUACCUGGAAUAUUAUUGUGUACGGGAAGGGGGGCAGUCUCUCAGAUAUGUACCUAAAACAUUCCCUGAUAUUCUGUAGCAUGUAGAGGUUUCCUGAGAAGAUAACGCCAUGUGAAAGUGUUUGCUCAAAUUCGAAAGUUUUAAAAAAGAACUGAUCAAUUGCAUCUCGGCUGGGAACAUACUCCUUUUCCUUUACACUUGGUAGAAAUAGUAUUUUCUUCUACUGGAGCGCUCUCUCUCUCUAUAUAUAUAUACACACAGUCGUAACUUGGAAGUCAAAUGGAAUUCAUUCCGGAAGUCCGUUCGACUUCCAAAAUGUUCGGAAACCAAGGCACGGUUUCCGAUUGGCCUCAGGAAGCUUCUGCAGCCAAUCGGAAGCCACGUCGGACAUUCGGGUUCCAAAAAACGUUCGCAAACCGGAACACUCACUGCCAGGUUUGCAACAUUUGGGAGCCAAAACAUUUGACUUGCAAGGAGUUCAGGAUCCAAGGUGCGACUGUAUACAGAUAAUUUUUUCAACACAUUGUUGCCCCCUCCAUGUGUCUUAGAAGGUAGGCUGUUGCCUAUUACUGUUUGCAUGACAAUAAAUUAAUCCGAACAUUAAUUGUAUGAAUGCAAUCAACAUGCACUUUUUCUAAACUUAAUGUAGCAAUGGGAAGUGGGAAGCAUUUAAGCCAGGUGUGGUUUUCCUGCAGCCUUCAAGUUGGUGAACUGAAGCUCCAAUUAGUCGAUUUUUGCACCUUCUUACUGAGACUUUGGCUGAGUGCAUAUAAACAAUAGGACAUGGGUGGCGCUGUGGUCUAAACCACUGAGCCUAGGGCUUGCCAAUCAGAAGGUCGGCGGUUUGAAUCCCCGCGAUGGGGUGAGCUCCCGUUGUUCAGUCCCUGCUCCUGCCAACCUAGCAGUUCGAAAGCACGUCAAAGUGCAAGUAGAUAAAUAGGUAUUACGCCGGCGGGAAGGUAAACGGCGUUUCCAUGUGCUGCUCUGGUUCUCCAGAAGCGGGUUAGUCAUGCUGGCCACAUGACCCGGAAGCUGUACGCCGGCUCCCUCGGCCAAUAAAGCAAGAUAAGUGCUGCAACCCCAGAGUCGUCCAAGACUGGACCUAAUGGUCAGGGGUUCCUUUACCCUUUUCCUUUCACCGAGACUUACAAAGCAACCUAGCCCUUCAUAAUAGCAACCCUUAUAAAUGUGUGACCGUCUUAAUAUUCCUGGCCACUUUUGCUCCAAAGCACGCCACCUCUUUAGAUAGUUGCAAUAAGGUUAAUGUAGCAAGUAACGCGGGAAGCAACUGCCACUAUUUACCUCAGAUUGUGUCAUAAAAUCUUUAAAAUCGUUAAAAUACAAAGCCGUCACCUCUCAGCAUCUUUAUCGUAGAAAAACAUCACAUCCAGGUUUGCCUCCCAGAGGACAUGACUAGGAGAGGGGCGGGAAACCAUUUUACAGCCUGAGGGCCUCUCACCCUUUGGGGCAAGCAUCCAGGGGCCACAUUCCAGUGGGUCCAGAGGCAAAAGUGGGAAGAGCAACAAAUGGAGAUUUUGACCUUAAAACAAAAGGCUGGUGUCUCCGCAGGCCAAAUACAACCUCUCUGCCCUUCCCCAGGCAAAGAAUGAGACCCUAUCUGAGUUCAAGGACCCACUGCAGCCAGGCAAAACCACUCAAUGCUGCUACAAAGCAGGCAUGUUGAGGGGCUGUGGCUGGGGAGAGUCCCAUGGGCAACACAGAGAGAGGCUUGAGGGCUGCGUUUGCCCCCCAGGCCAGAGGUUUCCCUGCCCUCACACUAGGAAGUGAUAGCCCUGGCCUUUAAUAUUAGGAGAAAGGUGAAAACUAAAUAAAGAUAUGUUACCACACUAAUUUCAUAUGUUCUCACUCAGGAGUGGGACUCUCCAAAAACGUUUUAGUUAUCUCAGAAGGAAACAACCCUGAAGUGAACUUCAAUGUGUUAGGCGCAUGCUAACACCAAUUAUCACCCAAUAAUCAGAAUACGAAACUGGUAGCAACAGUAACCACAUGAGUCAUCAAUCUUUGUUAAGCGCCUCACAUAAAUACCCUAAAACAGGUUUCCUCAACCUUGGCCCUCCAGAUGUUUUGAGACUACAAUUCCCAGCAUCCCUGACCACUGGUGCUGCUAGCUAGGGAUCAUGGGAGUUGUAGGCCAAAAACAUCUGGAGGGCCGAGGUUGAGGAAGCCUGCUCUAAAACAACCCCCCCGUCUUUUCCACCGCUGUGACCCAUCUUUGACCCCAGCACCGUGCACAGGAACCACUUUAAGUUGUUUACGGUUUACUAUGCCCAUUAUUCUCCUCUCCCCCUUGGUUCUCAAACUUAAUCCGUUCCAGAAGUCUGUUCCAAAACCAAAGUGUUCCAAAACCGAGGCACACUUCCCCAUAGAAAGUAAUGCAAAAUAAAUUAAUCCGUUCCAGACUUUUAAAAACAACCCCUAAAACAGCAAUACAACAUGAAUUUUACUAUCAAACGAGACCAUUGAUCCAUAAAAUGAAAGCAAUAAACAAUGUACUGCAGUCACACAGUCAAUCAGUCAGUAGCUGAACUGGGUUCCACACAGUCACAAAAACAAAAAAAAAGAGCCGCAAAAACAAAAAUGCAAAAUAGCAAAAACAGACAGACCUCAGCAAUAACACUCAAAACAGAAGCUCAGAACAGAAGCAUGGCACUCAAAAUGGAGCACGUUCAGCUUCUGAAAAAGGUUCACAAACCGGAACACUUACCUCCAGGUUUGCAGUGUUUGGGUACAAAGGCAUUUGAGAACCAAGGUACCAUUGUACACUUUCCCUCCCUUUGUGCUCCCUAGUUUCUGCUGUUGUCCCUCCUUUCACUACUCUUAAGAAAAUGAAAGUCACCAGGAAAAAACCAUUAAAAAUGGGACAUGGCCCUGGUGAGAGCCACGUUAGGUUCAUCUGUGACCUAAUUACGAGUCCUGAUUUAUUAGAAGAAGACCUUUACCCAAAUUUAUUUUCAAAGGUGGAUAAGGUUCACAGGUGAGGACUAUGCUAUCUCAUGUAAAUAAUAAUAAUAAUAAUACCAAGAACCAAUAUACAUUUCCCAAUGGAAAGCUGUAGACAUUGGUCACAGGGGGAAAAGGAAAUUAAAAAAUGACCCAGUCCCAAAAUAGGAGCACUAUCAUGGGGUGCUAAAGAUGCAGUGACAAUCUAUGACUUCUAAUGUCAACAACAGCAGUUUGAAACUGUGAACCUGCCCUUUAGACGCUCCGCAGAAUAAUUCUGCCUAAAGAUGGUUGCAAGAGGUACAGACAGCAGCCUGCUCCCUCUUCCCUUCUCCCCACCCCCCACCCUCACCGCAAAGUUACACAUCUCCCUAAUCGUUUCUCUGUUCAAUAACCUCCGGAGACCUGAAGUCUGCAGCUAUUGCACAAAGCAGCUGUCAAGAAAAGAAAUCCAAUUAAACUUUUUGCCAUGGGGCUGACCCCGAUUGUAGGCUGCAGUAUAGACCAGACAGUGUCACUCAAGCAUUAGGUAACACACAAGAACAGGCAAGGCACUUCACACAGCAGGCACAAUGCCACACUCUUUGACUCCAGUUAAUUAAUGCAGCAUAAUUACAGCCCUCCUGAUUCUAACCUCUUGUCACAACGGCCAAUUCAAAUCACCACUGCAUAUAUGAAGCACAUACUGAAAUUAUCAUUAAGAGCAAUUUGAUCAUUUUAUUACAGAAGAUGAAAUGUGUCCUGUCUCCAAAGCCAGAAGAUCAGGGACAUGCUAUGGGUUUGUGCACACUGGUGACGAGUUACCUCUUCCCUUCCUAUGGUUUUCCUCAAGCAGUUUUGUUGGUAUCGGCACUGACCAUGGUUUAAAGCGGGUUUGCCUCCAAACAAUGAUUAAUGUCACUGGGAAGCUGCAAUUAAAGUAAGCUAUGGGGAGGAAGAAAUUCGUGCAGAAAAGGGGAGGAGUGAAGGGAUGCAAACCCCUGCAACCCUAAACCGUGGUUUGGCGAUCUGGACCGCCAUGUCUGCACAGAACCUUAGACUCUGACUAUAAGGAUAGCAAUAAAGGCAUACUGUUGGAUAACUAAACCAUGAUGGCAUGCCAUGUAUGUGUCCUGCCCAAAGGAUGUAGCAUUUAGAAUACUCUUGGUCUGUCUGGAAUAAAAUUAAAGUCGCUACAUAUCACUUGAAAGCAAAAACAAGCAAAAGCAGAUUGCAUGCAAUGUUGCAACUGUAAACACGUUUGAUGGAAGCUUCCUCCCCUAGCUUCCUUCCUACAUACACCAUCACUCAAGAAACCCAAUGCAGGAAUCUGCCUUUUAGAAAGAGGGAGUAUUGCUCCAUUUAGCUUAGUAGAGCAGUAGCUCUCCAAGGUUUCAGGUAGGAGGCAUUUCCAGCUUUACCUGGAGAUUCCAAGGAAUGAACCUGGGACUUCUGCAUGAAAAGCAGAUGCUCUACCACUGAGCUAUGGCUGUUCCCAAAGGGUCUAACAAAAGAAUUCACUUUGUUUUUGGUGCUCACAGCAAACACCAAAAACAAAUCACAUGGAAGGAGUGCGCAAUGUGAAUCUCUGUUACACAUGCAAAGAGCUAGAAGCCACAACUUAUCAGGGUUUUCCACCACACCUCCACACGGAAAUGCUUAUACAGUAUGCUUUUCUCAGCCAUGACCAAAGGAUAAGUGGUCACACUCUUGUCAGCACAGACGCAAAAUGCAUGUAGACAUUUUGUCAAUGCACAGAGCAGCUGUGAAUUCCACAGAAGCCAACAAGAGUCCACAAAGUGAGGGCAUUUAGAACUGGAGUGAGAUACCGCCUUAAGUACUUUGGGAGGAAUUCAGUGUCGUGCUAAGGCGACUGCUCUAUCAGUGCAAGCAUUCCUGCUUGCCGGACAAUCUGCUGUCUCCCCUCUACACAAACCUGCUAUUCCAGGGUUUCUCCUGACUCUCCCAAGCAGAUUUGGAGAUAAUGGAGGGCAGGGGGAGGCGGAGAAAUCAUGCAGGGGGAGGAGAGGGGAUCAAGUCCCAUUGCACUAGUUUCUGAUAGCACAACAACUUACUUGAAUCUGGUCCUUUGUCUGAAAAAUGCUUAUUGACUAAAGGGAGUAAAACUUCCCUUGCUCCCAAAGAGCAAGGAUGCCUUAAUUUACUAAAGCAGAAUGCCGCAGAUAAACUUGCACAUGAUUAGUCUAUUAAAUCGUGAAAAAUCACCUCCCCCCCAAUGCUUACCUCCCUGUCUUGCAUUCAGGAAGUUCCUGGUUCAAUUCCCAACAUCUGCCACACCAUAAACUUAAAGCGCAUCCAGCACACAUUUGAAGUACAUGACUUCUCCCAAAGAAUCCUGGGAACUGUAGCUUCCCCUGGAAAAACUGGAAAAACUACAGUUUGUAAUGCAUGUGCUUUAAAUGUGUAGCUGGAUGUGCUUUGAAUGUAUGGGGUGGCUCUGCCCAAGAACUCUGCCUGCGACCUUGUACAGCCAUUGCCCAUCAGACUUGACAAUAUUGGGAAUAGAAUGGAUGGACAAACUUGGCAGGAAGCAGAUUCCUAUAGGGACGGUUUCACUUUAGCAACAGCACCCUUUUAUUAACCUUCCUCAUUCACAGGAACACAGGAACCUCCUGCCUUGUACUGAGACAGACCUCCAUCUAGCUCAAUAUUGUCUACACGGGUGAACAGCAGCUCUCACGGGUUUCAGGCAGCCUUACCUGGAGACACUGGGGAUUGAACCUGGAAACUUCUGCAUGCACAACAGAUGCUCUCCCAAUAAAACUGCUAAUACAUUUGCAAUGCUAAGCAGGGACUGGUGUGCUUUUGAAUUGGAUGGGGGGGAGGGUCCUAUGUUGAGAUUCCGGCAAUGCAGGGGGUUGGACUAGAUGACCCUUGCGGUCCCUUGCAACUCUACAAUUCCGUGAUUAAAUAAAGAGGCUGCAAUCCUAGCCAUGCCUAAAUUUAGGACUAAGCGCAGCUGAAUUAAGAUGAGCAUACGCCCAGGUGAAUGGGGUUAGGAUAGCAGCUUUAGAGAGGAGGGGAGCAAAACGGGAAUUCCAAGACAUUCCACCCUUUGUGCGGGGAUCAAAGCGACCCGCCCCCGCUCCGUUUCCCUCCCCGCACAGAACAAGAUGCAAAAGGACUCUGAGCAACCAGCUCCCCCUUCUAAGGAAAAAAAAGACCCGUCCGCUGCACUCACAUGCCCUGCUGAAGUUGCAGCGGCGCGCUGGGCGAGACCACCAGGCUGCCAAGGAUGCACACGAGCCACGCUGCGCUCGGGGUCAUCUCGGCGGGGCUCCGAGGUCGAAAGCCGCCGGCUGCAGGUCUUCAGCUGCCCGUCCCGGGCUAGCGCUGCUGCAGAAGAGCAGCGAGCUGCGGGAAAGUUGGCAUCGGGGAACUUCAGAGGGGACGGUCGCUGCGCGUUCGGAUUAAGAGGGAUUAAGGAGGUUUAACAAAAAAUAAAAUUAUUUUUUAAAAAUCGGGAAGCGCUGCUGCACCGGCGGCGUACGGGGGAAGCAACCGAUGAGGGCAAUUUCCUUCCAGCUUUCUGCGUCUCUCCUCGCCGCGCAGCUCGCCAGCCCCGCGCAAGCAACAGGCUCCGCUGAAGCUCCACCUCCCAGGCGCAGCUUGCAGCCCUCCAAAUCAUUUAAAGCCUCCGCCGAGCCAAUCACGCCUUUCCAAGUUCCUCGCCCCGCCCACAAUUUGGGUCGGGGGUGGGAGGCGCGCUCUGCUGGGAUUCCUAGAAAAAGAAGAAGAAUCCGUCAACGGGGAUGGACUAUCUAAUACUGAAUUUACAGCCCCACGUGGGGGAGUCAGGCUCAUUUGCUUCCCCUUCGCAGUCGAUCAAGUCGUGUCUAACUUUGCACUGGCUGCGUAGAAUAAAUAUGACGCUUCGGUCGCUUCACCGUCAAUAAAUUCCUCCCUAAUUCUGCAUCCAUAAAUGAUAGAUUCUGCAACUGGAAUUGUGUAACCGUAGUACUGUACACAUAUUUACUGUUUCUGGCUGUGAAAUGGGGAGGGGGAAAAAUAAUUUCAGCCUGCCUAGAUAGAUGAUAUUUAUUUAUUUAUUUAUUUAUUUAUACAUACCCCGCCCAUCUGGCUGGGUUUCCCCAGCCACUCUGGGCGGCUUCCGACAAAACACUAAAACACAAUAACCUAUUAAACAUUAAAGGAAGACAUCUACUUCUGCUUCAUUGACUAUGCAAAAGCCUUUGACUGUGUCGACCACAGCAAACUAUGGCAAGUUCUUAAAGAAAUGGGAGUGCCUGAUCACCUCAUCUGUCUCCUGAGAAAUCUCUAUGUGGGACAAGAAGCUACAGUUAGAACUGGAUAUGGAACAACUGAUUGGUUCAAAAUUGGGAAAGGAGUACGGCAAGGCUGUAUAUUGUCUCCCUGCUUAUUUAACUUAUAUGCAGAAUUAAUCAUGCGAAAGGCUGGGCUGGAUGAAUCCCAAGCCGGAAUUAAGAUCGCCGGAAGAAAUAUCAACAACCUCAGAUAUGCAGAUGAUACAACCUUGAUGGCAGAAAGUGAAGAGGAAUUAAAGAACCUUUUAAUGAGGGUGAAAGAGGAGAGCGCAAAAUAUGGUCUUAAGGCAUCCAUUCUUAAGGAAAUCAGCCCUGUGUGGUUCACAGAUCGUGAAGCUGAGGCUCCAAUACUUUGGCCACCUCAUGAGAAGAGAAGACUCCCUGGAAAAGACCCUGAUGUUGGGAAAGAUGGAGGGCACAAGAAGAAGGGGACGACAGAGGACGAGAUGGUUGGACAGUGUUCUCGAAGCCACAAACAUGAGUCUGACCAAACUGUGGGAGGCAGUGGAAGACAGGAGGGCCUGGCCUGCUCUGGUCCAUGGGGUCACAAAGAGUCGGACACGACUAAACGAAUAAACAAAACAAUUAAACAUUAAAAGCUUCCCUAAACAGGGCUGCCUUCAGAUGUCUUCUAAAAGUUUGGUAGUUAUUUUUCUCUUUGACAUCUGGUGGGAGGGCGUUCCAGAGGACGGGUGCCACUACCGAGAAGGCCCUCUGCCUGGUUCCCUGUAACUUGGCUUCUCGCAGCGAGGGAACCGCCAGAAGGCCCUCAGCGCUGGACCUCAGUGUCUGGGCAGAACGAUGGAGGUGGAGACGCUCCUUCAGGUAUACUGGACCAAGGCUGUUUAGGGCUUUAAAGGUCAGCACCAACACUUUGAAUUGUGCUCGGAAACGUACUGGGAGCCAGUGUAGGUCUUUCAAGACCGAUGUUAUGUGGUCUCGGUGGCUGCUCCCAGUCACCAGUCUAGCUGCCGCAUUCUGGAUUAGUUGUAGUUUCCGGGUCACCUUCAAAGGUAUCCCCACAUAGAGCUCAUUGCAGUAGUCCAAGCAGGAGAUAACUAGAGCAUGCACCACUCUGGUGAGGCAGUCUGCGGGCAGGUAGGGUCUCAGCCUGCGUACAAGAUGGAGCUGAUAAACAGCUGCCCUGGACACAGAAUUGACCUGCGCCUCCAUGGACAGCUGUGAGUCCAGAAUGACUCCCAAUAAAUAAACAGAAAAACAGACUUGGAAGAGGAAUUUAUAAAGGUUAUAUCAUCAGCCUCAGGAAAACUGCACAUUCUCUUUUGUUUUGGGGUGCAACUUCAGCCAGCCAGCCAGACCCUGUUCUCUAGCAGUAGCAGUCCAUGCAUGAAGACCAAUCUAGCUGUCUUCCAGCUUGGCAAGGCCCUACCUUGCUCAGAGAUUCUGCUAGUAUGGGCACAGGUGGGGAAAUAACCCCACUGAGCUCUGUAACCCUAAGGCUUCAGCAGGUGGGAUCAGCAUACUUCCUCAACCCAUGAAUCAGCCCCAGGGCACUAAGCAGCAUUCUGUCUUCUUGGAAGUGAUCCAUUCUUUCAAAUGAAACUUAUGUGUCAUGGAAGACAUACCAGUAAGGAAGCUAGACAAGGUUGAUUGUUUCUCUUAGACAGGAAGGAAACAAAAACUGCUGACUCUAGCCAGAUAUAACCAAGCCUAGUGCCAUCUAGUGACCAAGUAGCAAAAUUACACUAUCCACCAGGAAUGGUCCACCCAUAAGGCAAGGGGAGGCAACCAUCUUUGAUGGCAAUAUUUACAGGGGCAGCAGAUUCCAAUGUUGAUCUUCCUCCCCCCCCCUUUUCUCCCUGAUGUAGGACUUCCCUCAACCCUUCUUCCAUGGUAGGCACAAUUUUGGGGUCUGACUCAGGUGCCAAAAUAUAUUAGCCUGGCCCUGCUAUGCACACAAUGUGCUUAGGAUUGCUUCCUGAACGGCACACCCAGACAAAAUAAGACUUGUAAUACAGUGGUACCUCUGGUUACGUACUUAAUUCAUUCCGGAGGUCCGUUCUUAACCUGAAACUGUUCUUAACCUGAAGCACCACUUUAGCUAAUGGGGCCUCCCGCUUCCACCACGCCGCCAAAACACGAUUUCUGUUCUCAUCCUGAAGCAAAGUUCUCAACCCGAGGUACUAUUUCUGGGUUAGCAGAGUCUGUAACCUGAAGCGUCUGUAACCUGAGGUACCACUGUAGUUUGUUCACUCUUCUGCAAUGUUAAAGGAUCAACUAAUCUCAUUACCUUUUGGAAAGCAGAGGGGUUUUUUAGUCGCCUUUUAUUUCUUUAACUCUGGUUAGGGGUGGACAAGGAAAACACCAGAAGUGCCUGCAGGAUGAGGCCAACGACCCAUUUAGGCCAGUAUUCUGUUGUCAUAGUGGACAACAAGGUGCUUAUGGGAAGAACAAGGUACUUAUGUGAGAACAACCGCAGGAGGAUUUUGGAUAAAGCCAUAAACCUCUAUUUUCAAGGCUGGAUGUUAAUUACAGCUGAUAUAUCAUCUGAACCUGGAACUAACUUGAAGCUUCCUGUGAGACAAAGAAAAAGGAACAGCCAAAAAUACACCAGUGAUCAUUUUCCCUUAGCAGUUUACUGGCAAAGAUUGAUUAGAUUCCCAACAAGGUGACUUUCAAAAAUAGAGUUGAAAAUAUUAAUCAAAUAAUUGCUCGAUGGUUGUUUGUUUGUUUUUUAAUUGAUAUUUUUAAUUUCUUUUUUUCUAUUUGUUGUUGUUUAGUCGUGUCCGACUCUUCGUGACCCCAUGGACCAGAGCACGCCAGGCAUUCCUGCCUUCCACUGCCUUCUACAGUUUGGUCAAACUCAUGCUGGUAGCUUCGAGAACACAUUUUGCAAAUGUUCAUGUGCAACUAGAUUCUAUGCAUAUUUAUAUGGAAGGAAGCCCCAUUGUGUAUAAUGGGGCUUACUCCUGAGUAAAUGUGUAUAGGAUUGCAGUAAAAAACAAAAACACUAGCAAGCAACAGAUUCUCCAGCAGAAUGAAAAUGAUGGGGCUGGCUGUGGGCCCCUCCAGAUUGGUUGUUUUGUGUGUGGAAGUAUUCUGUGACAUGUCAUUGAUGCAAUACUAGUGAAUUAGUGGUGGAUUUCUACUGGAGCAUCCAUAUCACAUUCCACUUUAUUAGUUGUUCUGCGAUGCGCCCCCAAUGUUACUGCAUUAUUGCCAUCUGGAGGGGGACUCUUGCACAAUAGCAGGGACAAAAAACAGCUCGGGACAUUUGUGGCAUAAAAGGUUACAAGAUUUCAGCAGGAAGCUAUAGGGCAUGUGCUAACUGGAAAUUAAGCAGUAUGCCUGCCCUUUUGCAGACACAAAGAGUAUUGAAAGAGGGAUCAUGUAUAAAUGCGCUGCUACCAUCAUGAGCGGGACGCUAGGGCUUGCCGAUCAGAAGGUCGGUGGUUCGAAUCCCCGCGACAGGGUGAGCUCCCGUUUCUCGGUCCCUGCUCCUGCCAACCCAGCAGUUCGAAAGCACGUCAAAGUGCAAGUAGAUAAAUAGGUACCACUCUGGCGGGAAGGUAAACAGCGUUUCCAUGCACCACUCUGGUUCUCCAGAAGCGGCUCAGUUAUGCUGACCACAUGACCUGGAAGUUGUACGCUGGCUCCCUCGGCCAAUAAAGCAAGAUGAGCGCAGCAACCCCAGAGUCGGUCACGACUGGACCUAAUGGUCAGGGGUCCCUUUUGUGGAAGCAGAGGGCUUCAGUUGUCUGAUGGAACCCUUAAGCUGUGCCUCCAUCUAUGCUCAGCACAUAUAUUUGAAAAUGGACACAAAUAUUACAAAAUGCUAUUAUGUCUCCAAAGGAAACCAAACCUGGGUAAGUGCUGAAACCUGGAACUUUUCACCACUGCCAGAAGCAAAAUGUAAUAGUCUCUUUCUUUCUUUCUUUCUUUCUUUCUUUCUUUCUUUCUUUCUUUCUUUCUUUCUUUCUUCCUCUCUCUCUCUCUGUGUGUGUGUGUGUUUAUGGACAGCGAGUCUUGGUAUGUUAUAUGCAUUCCUCUAUCUGCAAGCAUAAAACGUCUAGAAUAUUAUGCAAAGAGCCUUUGAAUAGCUAUAUCAGAAAUAGAACCCAAGCUCUCCAUAGUCCACUAGCAUACCUCCUAGCAUACUUAUGAGCAACAACUACUAAAAGUGUAAGAUAAAUAUUUUUUGCUGUUUGAUAACCAAGCUCAUUUCUCUUUAUCCCCCGAAAAGCCGUAUCUCUGAACACCUUCUCCAAUCCACUUUUCACAGAGGAUGUUUCCAUAUAUAACACAGAGCAGAGUUGGAACUUUCUCAUCUCCAGGGAACAGAGGCAAUGAAGAUGGAUGAAUAAGCCUUAAUUUUACGCUCUCAAGGGUGGCGGAUAUUUGCAUCUGCGGUAGUUGCCGGGAAAUGCAAAUAAAAUAAUUGGAAAUGGGGUGAGUUGGAUGACCAUGCUCCACAAAAUGAGCACACUGCUGCAGUAGGAAAUGACAACCAUUUUACACAUGCUCUUGACAUUUAUUUAUCUACGGCUUUAUAAGACCCAAGCCCAGCUAUGUCCAAUUUCAACAAAUUGAUGUUAGACUUACACUCCCGGCUAAGAGUGCUGUGUUUCUUUAGUAGUUGGUGGCAAUAUGCAAUCACUGCUGCAAUCUUAUGAAAAGGCGCACACAACAAUAACAGGGCUGCCCUAUGUAAGAUUACCUGUGGAUUUGAGACACAGGCUGUAUGCAGGCGCCUUUACAGUAGGGAUGAAUGUAUCUGUCAACAGCAGUUUCUCCAAUCUUUUUUCCCAAUCUUAAAUUGAGUUUCCUGCCUUUUCGUGUCAGUUUUUUUUUUUGUUUUAUUUAUUUAUUUUUAAAUUUCCCUUUGAAAAUUCACCAGCGUUUUAGUGCAAUUUUCUCUUAAUAUUCCCAUUUUUGUAUGCAGUUUUGCCUCUCUCACACAUUUUUGGUCGUAUCUGCAUUCAUAUGUACACUUUCGCCUGAUAUUUAUGCAUUUUUGUACACAUUACUUAGCUGGAGAACUGUAUUGCAAAAUUCAGAGAAGUGGAAAUUCUGAAGAAUGGCUGUAUUUAAGUUGUGCAUCCUUCUGGAAAGUAUGAAUUUUGUUGUUGUUGUUAAAUUAAAUUUUUAUAUUGCCCUUCAUCUGAGGAUCACAGCGCCAUUUUCAAUGUAAAAACACAAAAAUAAUGUAACAUAGUAACAAAAAAAUAACCUCCACACACACACAGCUAGCUUAAAAGGCCAUAGAAGGAUCAAUGGGCUGACUCAAUAUUUAUACAUUUAGAUAAUUAUUUUGUUUAUUAAAUUUCCAAGCCACCCUUCAUCCUAGGAUCACAGGAGUGUUUACAGUAUAAAACCACAAAAAUACCUAACAUAGUAAAAACAAACAAACAAGAACAAUACCCACCCACAGUUUAAGACUGUCAAUAGAUUGGCUAAUUAGCCAACGGCCUGGGAGAAAUGGGAUGUUUUUGUCUAGUGCCUAAAGAUAUGCCACAAAAACUCCAAACCCCUUGGGAAGAGCAUUCUGCAAGCAGGGAACCACUGUAGGAAAGCCCCAUUCUAGGGUUGCCACCCUCUCAUGGAGGAGGCACACAAAGAAGGGCCUCAGACGAUGAUCUCGGGUUCUAGGCCAGUUCAAAUAGAGAGAGGCCUUCCUUGAGGUAUCACAGUCCUGAGCCGUAUAUGGUUUUAAGGUUUACCUUUAAAUGUGAACUGAAACAAAUUCAUCCCCCAUCCUUGCGAUAAACAAUGGUUCUGCCCCAUCCUUCACAGGAGGCGAAGGAGUGAUGGAGAGCAGAGCUCACUCUACAGCCUCCUCACACCCUAUUCGCAGAUACAGCAAUAGUAGGAUGACGGGGGAUGCGGGUGGCGCUGUGGGUUAAACCACAGAGCCUAGGACUUGCUGAUCAGAAGGUCAGCGGUUCGAAUCCCUGCAAUGGGGUGAGCUCCUGUGGCUCGGUCCCAGCUCCUACCAACCUAGCAGUUCGAAAGUACGUCAAAGUGCAAGUAGAUAAAUGGGGAAUACUUUCUCCAGUGGGAAAGUAAACGGUGUUUCCGUGUGCUGCUCUGGUUCGCCAAAAGCGGCUUAUUCAUGCUGGCCACAUGACCCAGAAGCUGUACGCCGGCUCCCUCGGCCAAUAAAGCGAGAUGAGCACCGCAACCCCAGAGUCGGCAAGGACUGGACCUAAUGGUCAGGGGUCCCUUUACCUUUAGGAUAAUGACAUGCCUAUUGAUAUUCCUAGGGAAUCUAUUCUCAUCAUAAGCCUUGGAUUUAUGUUUUGAAUUUAAUAACAUGUUAUCUCACAGCCUGUAUAAUUGGUGACAUUUCUUAAGAUACGUAUACCUUGUGUAUACCUCCUAAUGUCAGAAUAGACAUCAAGAACACAUUUGAACCAGGAAACAGCAUGCUAGCAGCGUGGAGCCUGGGGAAUGGUGUGUGGCCUGGGAAGAGUCCCAAGGGUAGGGUUGCCAUAUGUCCGGGUUUUCCUGGACAUGUCCUCUUUUUGGGAUCCAGAAGGUUAUUUGUAUGGUUAGGCAGUGUGCUGAUGGUGUGCCCAUGCACUCACAAGCACAUGUGUGCUCCCUUCUCCCCUGGCAAAUGUGUCCUCUUUUUUGCUCUUCGGAAUAUGGCAACCCUACCCCAGGGCCAAAGAGAGGGCUGGGGGCCACAUUUGGCCCCAGGACUGCUGUUCCCCACCUCUGGCUUAGCCAGAACAAGCAAAAAUAAUAAAUGUUUCUGGUCCUGCUGCCACCCAGAGUGAGGCUAUGGUUUGGUAUGGCAUUACAUGCAGACUGGGCCAAUACAAGUCAGCUUCAUAGGAGCAGCCGAGGAGACUUUAAAUGCAAAGACACACAGACAAAAAAAUUUCUCUCUGUUUCAGAAAGCUUAAUACCCCAUUAUUUCCUUGCCCUCCUUCCCACUCUUCCCAGUGUGAAAUGUAGCUUCGCUGAGAUGACACAGUUAAUGGAUAACCUCUGGGCAGGCCUAUUGUAUGUUUUCCCUCUGUGUGCGCUGGAGUUACAAACCAAAUUGCUUUAUGGAUGCAGCAGCGGGCUGUACGCUGCCUUUUCGUGCUGACAGGCUUCUUUGUUGAUGAUUCUCUUUUUAGCAUAGUUUUCUCCAUACAUCACCAAUUGUCUUUUGUUUUUCCACAGUUGGGAAGACUGAGCUAAUCCAUAUAUUACCACAAAACUUCAGUCCCUCGCUGUGUGAUAGAUCCCAAGCAUGCUAUUCUGAUCUAUUGCCUCCCUGCCACAUCUCAAGCUCAUUUGUUCACUACUUACUUUGGUUGCUGCUUACUUAAUAUUGUUCGCUUGCCCUGAAUUGUAAAUGCUGCAUCAUAAUGUCAUAAAGGGAUGCAUAGCAUAGGAGCUGAGAGUAUAAGCCAUGGGCAGAAAAACCACUGAUAUGCAUCUCAGAGUGCUUCCAGAUGCCCUGUUUAAUGAGCAUUCGUUCUGAUUUGCUUGCAGAGAGGUUAGAUGAUGUUGCGCCAGAGCCAUUGUUAUCCCACACUUUCCAGUACAUUUUCCUACCACUUAUUGCAAAACAUCUGAUCAGUUGGGGGAAGUGGGUUUGUUGAGCAAGAUCUCCCAAUUGACACUAAUUGUGCAAACUAAAUUUGCUGGUAUGGGAUUGAAUCCCAUCCCAAAAGAGCAAGAGUCUGGAAGUGCCCUUAGUUAUUAAUGUGCUAAAUGGUUUCCUCGGUGGCUGCAUCUGUAAUAUGUGGGUGGUGGUGAUGCUAAGAGACAACAACAACAACAACAACAACAACAACAAAGCUCACAUCUCCCUCCCUUGGAUCUUUCCUUCAGGCCACCCAGAGAAUUGGGAAAUAGUUGAGUAGUGGGAGAAGUACCAGCACCCUUUUCCCAUGGGUGGUCAUGUGUCCUACUCUACAGAGGAUGGUCCUCCAUUGAAGAAUAGUAAAGACUAAGUCUGGUGUAUGAUUAAUAACACAAAUCAAAAGAAGACCAGGGACUUUGAAGUUACCCAUCAAUGUUGUUGGCAUCUGUCUGUCUCGGGUGCCUUUGGAGGUGAAGUCAAAUGGUUGGAGUUUUAUAGCGCUUGCUGUGGCUGUAGAGACCAAUAUGGGAGAAACAUGUUUCGUUGCAAAUGGAGCAGAUGGAGGCACCCAGUUUGGCUGUUGCAGGUGUACCAUGGCGUUUCUUCUUUCUGUGCUCCUCCCCAUGGUCAUUUUUCCUGUGAGAGGAAUGAUGGUCUCUAGGCGGUCAUGUGAAACUCCACACGGGGGAGUUAAUCAUAGAACUGUAGAAUUGGAAAGGACCACAAGUGUCAUCUAGUCCAACCCCCUGCAAUGGGGGAAUCUCAACCCAUGGUUCCCCAUCCAAUUUGAAAUCAUACUGGACCCUGCUUAGCUUUGCAAAUGUGCUAGCUGUUUUGCCAGCCUUCAUGCCACAUUUGCAGACAUUUUUGCAACACAGAGUUGAUCUGCCAAUGGGCCUGGAAGCCAUCCUUCCAUUUUCCAUUCUGUGGACAUGCUUUAAUAUCUGUUUUUUGCUUUUUUUAAAAAAAAAUUAAUUAAAUCUUCACUCUGAUUUUUGAAGUCUGUUUCUUUAUAAACACAAAAAAUAGGUGAUGUUCUAUCUGAAUUGCAUGUUUAUGGUAUGGUUGCAUUUAAAGUGCAUUGUUUCCAUUCUGUGAGCCACCCAGUGGUCUUUUAGCUGCAGGACAGCCUUGCAGGACAAGAUAAAGGCAGACUUCCGGGUUAGCGCCAUCGCCGAAUGGCGGACUCCCUCCGAGCUCCGGAGGGAGUCUGCUCGGCAGGGGCUGGGUCCUACCGCGCCGGCGACGCGGGGACCCUUAAAAACCACGGGCACGGAGUCCGUGGACAUGGGUGACUCGGCUUGCACCAUUAGCGCCCUCCCGACUCGUGAAGGAGCCUUUUAAAGGCUUCGGAUCGGGUGCCGGGAGUGGCGUGGUGCUUUGAGUCCACUGCUUUCCUGCCGAGCGCAGCCGCAUGCCAUUCGACGGAGAGCGCUGACUUCUUCUAUUGAAAAUUUGGACUAGUAACAACACCCCGUGAGUAAUUGGGAAACCGGGUUCAAAAUUUUGGAUUUGGCACGAGCGGGGCGAUUUAAAAGGAAGUCAAUCCCCCUAUUGUAAGCAUUCCAAAACAAGGACUGGGUAACCAAGGUCCAAAGGGAAGUAUGUCUCUGAUAAAAAUCAUUAAUUUCACGAUGGGAAAUUAUAAGAAAUGUGCUGGAGGAGAAGAGUGGAGGGUGAGAAGAAAAUGCAACCCCCCCCCCUGGGAACCGGGGCGAUUCGUGGAGCCUGGUGAAGAGAGACGGAGACUUUGACAGCUGUCAAAGUGGCUGUCAAAGCUGGAGAAUAUAAAGAGGACUUUGUUAUGAGGACCUUGCUGGUUAAUUUUGUUACAAUUUGCUAUAAUAUGGAUAUAAACUGUUGGAAAAUAAGUAACAAUUUGACUUUUGGAUUAGAGGAUACAAAGUUAUUACAAUCCCCCUAGAGGGGUUUCGGGAUACUACAAGAACGGUCGUAAGUGGAAAAAUACCCUGGGAUUCGCACAGGAUGUGUUAUCUUCUGGGAAAGCUGCAAAACUGAAAGAGUAUUUUGUCUACAGAGGAAGACAAUGGAACUUUUUAUUGAAGAAAGGAAGGGACUGGACGUAAGUUUUUGUUCCUGAAUAACAAACCUCUGCAGAGACACUAGAUUUCUGAAUUAGAAAGUUUUAGCAGCUGAACAGGACAAGAAACCUGAGAAAGUGAGGAAUAAGAAGAAUAAAGGACUGAUUACGACACGGAAAGAACAACGGGAGGAGUGGUAAAGAUCAAGGAAAUUAAAGGCUUUUGUUAGAUUGGACAAUUGAAGUCAAAUAUUAUUUAAAUUAAUAAACUAAAAGAAAACCGGCAAGAUGGAAUCGGGGAGAAAUCUGGUCAUGAAAUGAGACUUCCAAGCUGAUAAUGUAUAGACUGAUGGACAUGGGGAAUUCAAACCGGGGAAGGGGGGGGGAGAUUUGAAAUCCAAAGGCUGUGUAACCAUUUUUUGAAUUUUUCUAUAUCUUUUAUUUUCUAUUUCUUUACAUAACUUACGCAUGUUAUUUUACUUUGAUCGGACGUGUUUAAAAAAAAAAGGGAAUUUGUGGAAGGAACUGGGGUGGAUCUUGGGGAAAAUCUUUUUUCUUUUUCUGUUAAUGAUGUGGGACGGUGGUAAGAUUUGUACAAUUCAAUCUGGAUAGUGGGUUAAACAAAUUAAGUUUUAAAUUGGGAGUGAGAGCUUGUAGAACCAAAUUAAGGAAAGGGGA